rnacentral:rRNA from 2 species
GCUUGCUCCCUGAGAUCAGCGGCGGACGGGUGAGUAACACGUGGGUAACCUGCCUGUAAGACUGGGAUAACUCCGGGAAACCGGGGCUAAUACCGGAUAACACCUACCCCCGCAUGGGGGAAGGUUGAAAGGUGGCUUCGGCUAUCACUUACAGAUGGACCCGCGGCGCAUUAGCUAGUUGGUGAGGUAAUGGCUCACCAAGGCGACGAUGCGUAGCCGACCUGAGAGGGUGAUCGGCCACACUGGGACUGAGACACGGCCCAGACUCCUACGGGAGGCAGCAGUAGGGAAUCUUCCGCAAUGGACGAAAGUCUGACGGAGCAACGCCGCGUGAGUGAAGAAGGUUUUCGGAUCGUAAAACUCUGUUGUUAGGGAAGAACAAGUGCCGUUCGAAUAGGGCGGCGCCUUGACGGUACCUAACCAGAAAGCCACGGCUAACUACGUGCCAGCAGCCGCGGUAAUACGUAGGUGGCAAGCGUUGUCCGGAAUUAUUGGGCGUAAAGCGCGCGCAGGUGGUUUCUUAAGUCUGAUGUGAAAGCCCACGGCUCAACCGUGGAGGGUCAUUGGAAACUGGGGAACUUGAGUGCAGAAGAGGAAAGUGGAAUUCCAAGUGUAGCGGU